GACCAGACUCCUACGGGAGGCAGCAGUGAGGAAUAUUGGGCAAUGGAGGCAACUCUGACCCAGCCAUGCCGCGUGAGUGAAGAAGGUUUUCGGAUUGUAAAGCUCUUUCGGAUGUGACGAUGAUGACGGUAGCAUCUAAAGAAGCCCCGGCUAACUACGUGCCAGCAGCCGCGGUAAUACGUAGGGGGCAAGCGUUAUCCGGAUUUACUGGGUGUAAAGGGAGCGUAGACGGCAGCGCAAGUCUGGAGUGAAAUGCCGGGGCCCAACCCCGGAACUGCUUUGGAAACUGUGCAGCUCGAGUGCAGGAGAGGUAAGCGGAAUUCCUAGUGUAGCGGUGAAAUGCGUAGAUAUUAGGAGGAACACCAGUGGCGAAGGCGGUCUGCUGGACAGCAACUGACGCUGAGGCGCGAAAGCGUGGGGAGCAAACAGGAUUAGAUACCCGGGUA
rnacentral:rRNA from 1 species